rnacentral:lncRNA from 1 species
GGGAGAGUUGGCUCCUGGCCCGUAUCUCCACUCACUGUAUCAGUCCCGUGAUUGCCCCCUUCUUAUCAGACUUCUGGCUCUGUUGUGCACCUCAAGGGCCUCAUACAUCUAAACUGUGUUCACAGACCCUCAACCCUAAGCACUCCCUGGACCACCUCUCAGGCCUCGUGCACCAUGCUGACCACACAGCCUGUCUUCAAGACCCCGGAGAGAGGCCAUGAAGGCUUGACAUCAUUCGCUCGAGGGAUACCAGGGGCCACUAUCUGAAGCACGAUGUAGACCCUUGCUACGCACAGCACCAGGGACAUAAUUAGAAAUGCAGCAUCUCAGAUCUGCUCCAGGAUGCCUAAAUUAGAAUCUGCAUGUUGGUAAGAUCCUCAGGUCUUUCUUAAGCACAUUUAGGUUAGCAAAACACAAACAAAAAGGAAGGGUAGCUGCUUGGUUCCAAGGCCUCCUCAGGCUAUGGAGAGAGGCAGGGCCGAAAGAAGGCUAGGAUGGCGCUCGCUAAAGAGCAUGCUUGCCAGUGACUGAAGGUCAAUAAAGGCCGGGCAGACCGCAAAACGAUUCGGUAGGCCUAGGGGUAGGCCUAGCGUAAGAGACACAUGCCGCACUUCACGAAGGGGAUGCCGAGGGCGUCAGCCCUGCCUAAAGGGGGCGGCUGGUGAUCAUCUUCAGUUCACUGUGGCCCUGAGGAUGGAUAGCAGCCAUGAGGAAAGAAGAAACUUUAUCAAGUUUCACUUCUUAAAUCUUCAAGUCUGUGCUUCAGAUGACUCCCAGUCAAGACCAAAAUGUAUAGAUUAUAUGCAGUGGAAGUUGGAGGUCAGGGGAUUGGAAGAAGAAGAAAGAAGAAAGAAGAAAGAAAGAAGAAAGAAGAAGAAGAAAAGAAGAAAGAAGAAAGAAGAAAGAAGAAGAAGAAGAAGAAGAAGAAGAAGAAGAAGAAGAAGAAGAAAGGAAGAAAGAUGACAGAAUUUGAGAGUUAUAAUUAAAAUGCCUUUUUUGGAUCCUGAAUUAUUACAAACCAAGGUCUAGGAAGAAAGACCCUUCCAAAUAAUUUUCAUAAAAAUAACCUCCCGAUGUAUUUCUGUCCCAUGCAUUCCAGUCUUUAAAUACCAACGUUAAUGUUACCUUGUUACUUCACUGGAG